GUUAUGGGUAGCCAUCUAGCAGCUUUUAGCUGGAAGCUGCGAACAACAUGGUGGCACAGGCUGAGGGAAGAUGUGUUGAGCCUGCAGAUCUGUGAGGUGCUGUGGAGGGAUGGCUCCAAGGGUGAAGACCUCAGUGCCAUCAGGCUGGAGAUCCUCAUCUGUGGUUGAACUUCUCUUGUUAAGCUUCACUGUUAUGCAAGAAUGGAGGUGGCAAGACCACUGUCAUCUGCCUGCACAGUACAGAGAAGAUGAUGAAAUUUAAACGGACAGCUUAAAAUUGACAAUUUUACUUGCAUCUGUCUUCCAUCAUGUUUUCCAUGCCAGGCAUGGCUCUUUCCCUGCUGAAUAAAG